ACAUUGCCAUCAAGGCCCCAGGUGUGGACGAGGCCCUUUACUUUAACCAGAAAAGGUAUCACUCCCUCUCAACAUCCACCUUGUUUGUGAUGCGAAUGGAGUGAUCCUCAGCUACUGCUCCAGACUCCCAGGUAUACAGUAUCAUUGCAUUACAUGUUUACCCAACCAUGUAUUUUAUUGAUUUUCAUGUGACUGCACAUGGUUACUGGUAUUGCAUAAGAAAACAGUGUGAUAAGCCUUGACAUUAGUUAUAAAUGGACAGUUGACAUACUCCUUGACAAGUAAUGAAUCCUCUUGUAGUAUGAAAUCUCACUUUUCACAGGUGCCUGCACUCUUAUGGAGGUAGCUUGCAGUACAGACCCAUCAAGUGUGUGAAAAUAAUUAAUGCUUGCCUGCUCCUACACAACCGCUGCAUGAAGUUCCUGAUGACCUACCACCUCUUGAGGAUGAAGCAGUGCCCCAUGCUGGUGCCGACCCUGCUGUGCUGCAGAGGGGUCUACGUGCUCCAGGCAGAAUUGUGCAGCAAGAAAUCAUACAAAACUUCUUCCAGCAAUGAAGUAAGGAAGUCAGGUAUCAUUUACCUAUGUCAGUAAUCAUGUAAUGAGUGAAGUAAUGGUUUUCCAUGUAUCACUGCAUACUACAUGAAAGAGAUGAGUGCAGCAUUUUAUUUCAUCAAAUACUUAAGUGGCUUGCUAGUAUUAGGUAUGAAUAACACAAAUUAACACAAAAUGAAUUAACACAAAUAAUACAAAAAAUGCUGUAGAUUUAUUUAAAAAAAAUUAAAUGAUUGGUAAUGGCAAAGUUUUUGCAAAAGAAAAAAAAAAUAACAUAUGAGCAUAGUUCAGUUCCUGUAAAAAGUAAAAAAAUAAAUAAAUAAAUAAACAUAUUUAUAGAAAUGCCCACCAGCAGGUCACCACAAAGCACUCUAAUGUAAUUUUUGUACUUUAAGUAACACAAAGGCAUUGUAGGUAUCACAGUGAAGAAAUGCUUUGGUAUUAUAUUGCACUAAUAUUAACAUGCUACUCUAGGUAAAUGAUAGAAUUAAUUAAUGAAGUGCUCAGCAAGUGUUACCAGCUGCUGCAAACAAAAAAAAAAAAAAAAAAAAAAAAAGGUAGAGAAUAAGCUGGUAUUCUUUGAGUGAUGUUUUUUGUUGACUAAUUUUUCUUUUAAUUAUCAGUCAACCUAGUCAUGUUAAUAUUAGUGCAAUAUAAUACCAAAGCAUUUCUUCACUGUGAUACCUACAAUGCCUUUGUGUUACUUAAAGUACAAAAAUUACAUUAGAGUGCUUUGUGGUGACCUGCUGGUGGGCAUUUCUAUAAAUAUGUUUAUUUAUUUAUUUAUUUUUUUACUUUUUACAGGAACUGAACUAUGCUCAUAUGUUAUUUUUUUUUUCUUUUGCAAAAACUUUGCCAUUACCAAUCAUUUAAUUUUUUUUAAAUAAAUCUACAGCAUUUUUUGUAUUAUUUGUGUUAAUUCAUUUUGUGUUAAUUUGUGUUAUUCAUACCUAAUACUAGCAAGCCACUUAAGUAUUUGAUGAAAUAAAAUGCUGCACUCAUCUCUUUCAUGUAGUAUGCAGUGAUACAUGGAAAACCAUUACUUCACUCAUUACAUGAUUACUGACAUAGGUAAAUGAUACCUGACUUCCUUACUUCAUUGCUGGAAGAAGUUUUGUAUGAUUUCUUGCUGCACAAUUCUGCCUGGAGCACGUAGACCCCUCUGCAGCACAGCAGGGUCGGCACCAGCAUGGGGCACUGCUUCAUCCUCAAGAGGUGGUAGCUGUAAGCAGACUUUUGUGAGGGUUUGAGAGGUCUAGGGGUUGGAACCUAACCCUUCCAUUUGUUUAAAGUUUAUGUUGUACGAGAGGAACAGACGUGUAGUUUGACAUUUAGCAUUUUCGUGAUCCAAAACUGGCCCAAACCAUAAUGACUUUCAAGACACCUUUGUAGGAAAAAAACAAAUGUUAUUUUCGUUAAAUGACGGUACACUUCUGACAAA